rnacentral:tRNA from 1 species
GGGGUUGUAGCUCAAUGGUACAGUGCUUACCUCGAAUGCAUGAGGCACUAGGUUUGAUCCUUAGUACCACA